UUUGCGUAUAAUAAGUACAUUUUUUUUUCAUAGGUUUUGAAAAAGUUUUUUCUUCGAUCUCACACACUUUGCAGAUCUGCCACGGAUUUGGCAAUUUUUACUGCUUGUUUUCUGUUGUACCGUUUAAUUAAAAUGUAAACGGUUGCAAAGAGUUGCACACUUACAAUGCACAGGAUAAUCGUGAGUUUGAACUCGUGCGAUUCAUGCCACUCUUCAUGUAAAUCCAGUGUAUUCUGGAUGUUGACUUGUGGGUCACCAGUAUUUCUCACAAUUUUUGAGUUGGGUUUACCCAUUUCAAUAAUUAUCACUGGGUCUUGUUGAAUUCACUAAGAGUUAAAAACUCUGUCAUGGUAUGCCAUAUGUUAUGUUUCACUGAGUCAUUCUUUCUCACCCAACUGAAACGCUCAGUUUGGUGGUUAAACUAAUAAAUGAUUUUAUUGUAGAAUUCUUAAUCUACAGUUGACCUACGGGAGGCACUUGAAGUCGGUAACCGUGUGUAAAGGAAAAGGCAAAUUUUAUGUGCCCUGGUAACAGCACGAUAUGUGCGCUUGGGUCGCAAUGUAAUUCGAGAUAUUCGAAUUGCAUAAUGUGUUCAGUGCCAUCGAACUGAUUUGUGCACUGUUGCAUAUGCGUUUCCUUCGCGUGAGAAUUGUCUCCGCGGGGUACUUGACUGCUAUUGUGGUCUUCUAAGAAUUUAGGUUGGGUAAAUGAAUUCUGGUCUCUCACAAUGUGGGUUUGUUGCUAUGCAUGCUACACUCGAUCGCUCACACUGUACCUAGAAUGCGUUUCUUUAUUCCUCAAAGUUUUCACCUAUAUCUGGUGGUCGCCAUGUUGACGGGUCACGGUCGCCAUAUCACAGUUUGAAAAUUGGCUUCAGGUUCCGAUAAAAGCUUUGUCUUGCGCUAUCAGUCUAGAAAGGUGCUGAAGGAUCUGUUGCAAGCCGUUUCUUUGAUUGGGAGCUUUCAAAGUUCAUCGACUAGUUUCUCUAUGAUCAAAAAUGUACUCUGAAACCAUCGUGAGGAACUGCCAUUGAUCUGUCAGAGUUUGACAUGAUUCUUCGAAAGGCUUCUCAAAUAAUUUCCUUUUCGUAAAUCUUUAAGUAUUUUGAAGAUUUCACAAAAUUCUGGCGUUCAUCGUAAAGGACGCUAAAUCAAAAUAAAAAUUCAAGACAGUUGUGAAUAUGGAUUGAAAUAUUCGUCAACUCUGUUGUCUCGUAACAGGUAUCCAACUAUUGUAAUUUACUAUUACCAACCUAAAUGUGCCGGGAAAAAAAUCCGUUCGUUACGCCGUCCGUUUUAUGAAAGCGAUUUUUUUUGGAAAUGACUUAAAACAAUUUAUUUUGUUGAUGAUAGUCGUCAGUGAAUUGGAACACAAUUAUCAUGACACAGUUUCAUGAUAAUUAUGUUCCAAUUCAUUAACGACUGUCAUCACUGUGUUUUACAACUAAACGUCUCAUCUAAAAUUAUUUCAAUUUAACCUGCGUAGUCUCAGGAGGUAGUCGAAAUCAGUUCAGUGAUGUAUAUUACUUCUUAGCAGAGAGAUGGAAAAUCAAAGAGGGAAAGAAUGUGGAGAAGGUUCUUAGCAGCAGGCUUGCUUGGCGAUACUGUACUGCUUAUACCGUCUUCAAGUAGAGCAAAAACUUGCAAGCUUCUGAGCAGUGAUUAACAAUGUUCAUCCUUACAAAGAAGUUUUCCACAAUUCCGAUUGGAAGCCUCUGAGAAAAUGAUUUCCAAGCUUCCGAGUGGAUGCUCUUCAAGCUUCCGAGUAAAAAAUGUUCACGCUUUUGAAAGGAAGCUUUUCAAGCUUCUGAUCGAGAGAAAAAAAAAAACUUUGCGAGCUUCCAAGGAGAUGAUUUUCAAGCUUCUGAGUGGCAGCAGCUGUUCAAGUUUCGGGACGAAAGCUCGUCAAGCUCGUGAGCGAAAUUUCCCAAGAACUUCUGUGAUUUCUGUUACUCGAGAUCAAACUCCAAGUAUAAUAGGUUCGACAUUAUUUGCAAUUGUUUUAUAUUUCUAAAAAUAUCGAUAGCCUUUUGCCACACUUCGAUGUUAUAAUUUUUAAUGGCUUGUUUAUAAUUAUUUUUGAUUAUGGCCAAUAAAAGUACGGCCUGUUCAAAUUUUUGCGCUCCUAUCCUCGGUGACUUCCUUAAAUUGGAAUCAUCCAAAAGAAACUUUUUAUUGCUAAUAAACUAUUCAAUUCCUCGACCAUAACCGUUGAAAUAGCUUUUGAUUGAAUCACCGUGGUUUAUUUUAUAAUAUUCUUCAUUGAAAUUACUCCUUGAAAGGCAUUUUCACUUCACCUCCAUCUAAACUUAUUAUUGAAAUUACUCGUUGAAAGAUAUUUUCACUUCACUUCAAUCUAAACUAUUUAUCUAAAUCUAUUUAUGUACCUUUAAUACUACGCUUCUUUGUAGUUUCGAGAGAAUAUUGUAGUUUACCAUUAAAAUUGGCGGUCCCGAUCUCGGGUUAUGUCAUAGAAGAAAUUAAAUUAAAAAUUGAAUUUCGCGUUGUAUCGUGUUUUGUACACCUUUCUUUGUGUACUUGCUGUGAAGCCUCAGCAAGAGAUACGCUAUAAUCACGACUGCGACUGUUACAAACGCGCCUACCAGUAUCUUCAUCUCC